rnacentral:rRNA from 1 species
UACAGAGGGGGCAAGCGUUAUUCGGAAUUAUUGGGCGUAAAGGGCGCGUAGGCGGCUUGGCAAGUGGAAGGUGAAAUCCCUCGGCUUAACCGAGGAACUGCCCUCUAAACUGCUUGGCUUGAGACCGGGAGAGGUGAGUGGAAUUCCCAGUGUAGCGGUGAAAUGCGUAGAUAUUGGGAGGAACACCAGUGGCGAAGGCGGCUCACUGGACCGGUACUGACGCUGAUGCGCGAAAGCGUGGGGAGCAAACGGG